rnacentral:rRNA from 1 species
UGAGGAAUAUUGGACAAUGGACGAAAGUCUGAUCCAGCUAUGCCGCGUGCAGGAUGACGGCCCUACGGGUUGUAAACUGCUUUUAUACAGGAAGAAACACCCCGACGUGUCGGGGCUUGACGGUACUGUAAGAAUAAGGAUCGGCUAACUCCGUGCCAGCAGCCGCGGUAAUACGGAGGAUCCAAGCGUUAUCCGGAAUCAUUGGGUUUAAAGGGUCCGCAGGCGGUUUUUUAAGUCAGAGGUGAAAUCCUGCAGCUCAACUGUAGAAUUGCCUUUGAUACUGAAAGACUUGAGUUAUUGUGAAGUGGUUAGAAUGUGUGGUGUAGCGGUGAAAUGCAUAGAUAUCACACAGAAUACCAAUUGCGAAGGCAGAUCACUAACAAUAUACUGACGCUCAGGGACGAAAGCGUGGGUAGCGAACAGGAUUAGAUACCCUGGUAGUCCACGCCGUAAACGAUGGAUACUAGCUGUAUGUCUACUUCAGGUAGAUGUGUGGCCAAGCGAAAGUGAUAAGUAUCCCACCUGGGGAGUACGAUCGCAAGAUUGAAACUCAAAGGAAUUGACGGGGGCCCGCACAAGCGGUGGAGCAUGUGGUUUAAUUCGAUGAUACGCGAGGAACCUUACC